rnacentral:rRNA from 1 species
ACGGAAGGCAGCAGUGGGGAAUAUUGCACAAUGGGGGGAACCCUGAUGCAGCGACGCCGCGUGAGUGAAGAAGUAUUUCGGUAUGUAAAGCUCUAUCAGCAGGGAAGAAGAAAGACGGUACCUGACUAAGAAGCACCGGCUAAAUACGUGCCAGCAGCCGCGGUAAUACGUAUGGUGCAAGCGUUAUCCGGAUUUACUGGGUGUAAAGGGAGCGUAGGUGGUCUGGCAAGCCAGAAGUGAAAGCCCGGGGCUUAACCGCGGGACUGCUUUUGGAACUGUUGGACUGGAGUGCAGGAGGGGUAAGCGGAAUUCCUGGUGUAGCGGUGAAAUGCGUAGAUAUCAGGAGGAACACCGGUGGCGAAGGCGGCUUACUGGACUGUAACUGACACUGAGGCUCGAAAGCGUGGGGAGCAAACAGGAUUAGAUACCCUGGUA